GAACGGGUGAGUAAUAUAUCGGAACGUGCCCAGUCGUGGGGGAUAACGUAGCGAAAGCUACGCUAAUACCGCAUACGAUCUAUGGAUGAAAGCGGGGGUUCGCAAGACCUCGCGCGAUUGGAGCGGCCGAUAUCAGAUUAGCUAGUUGGUGAGGUAAAGGCUCACCAAGGCGACGAUCUGUAGCUGGUCUGAGAGGACGACCAGCCACACUGGAACUGAGACACGGUCCAGACUCCUACGGGAGGCAGCAGUGGGGAAUUUUGGACAAUGGGCGAAAGCCUGAUCCAGCAAUGCCGCGUGCAGGAUGAAGGCCUUCGGGUUGUAAACUGCUUUUGUACGGAACGAAAAAGCUUUCUCUAAUAAAGAGAGCUCAUGACGGUACCGUAAGAAUAAGCACCGGCUAACUACGUGCCAGCAGCCGCGGUAAUACAUAGGGUGCGAGCGUUAAUCGGAAUUACUGGGCGUAAAGCGUGCGCAGGCGGUUAUGUAAGACAGAUGUGAAAUCCCCGGGCUCAACCUGGGACCUGCAUUUGUGACUGCAUAGCUAGAGUACG
rnacentral:rRNA from 1 species